UACGUAGGGGGCAAGCGUUGUCCGGAAUCAUUGGGCGUAAAGCGCGUGUAGGCGGUUCGAUAAGUCUGCUGUGAAAGUCCAGGGCUCAACCCUGGGAUGCCGGUGGAUACUGUCGGGCUAGAGUACGGAAGAGGCGAGUGGAAUUCCCGGUGUAGCGGUGAAAUGCGCAGAUAUCGGGAGGAACACCAAUUGCGAAGGCAGCUCGCUGGGACGUCACUGACGCUGAGACGCGAAAAGCGUGGGGGAGCAAACAGGG
rnacentral:rRNA from 1 species